rnacentral:lncRNA from 1 species
GUACCUUUACUGAUGAGCAAUCAUGGUAUAAGUAUAUAUAUGUGAGAUACCAAUCUGAAAGACUUUGAAAGGUUUAAAGAAUUCAGAUAUGAAGUAGAAAAGAUAAAUCAAAAAUUUUUUGAAAGUACUUCGAUCAGAUUGAGGAUGCAAUACCAAAUAUAAAAUUUAUCGAUUAUCUAAAGAGAAUGACAUAGUUUCAUGAUAGAAUUCUCCUGGUACACCUCAGCUC